GAUGGAACCCUAAUAAUAACAUUAUCUUCGCCACUUUGCUUUCCUCUCUCGAGAUCUACCCGUCUUGGGAGUACCUGUUGCUCCCGCCCGAUCUCGCGCUCAUCAAGUCGAUUUCUCCUCCCUGCUUCCUCGAUCUAGCGAUCAGAUAUGGCUGGACAGGCACCAGAAGGAUCACAGUUUGAUGCUCGCCAAUAUGAUACCAAAAUGAAUGAGCUGCUAAAUGCUGAUGGGCAGGACUUUUUCACAUCUUAUGAUGAAGUCUAUGAAAGCUUUGAUGAUAUGGGUCUUCAGGAGAAUCUUCUUAGAGGCAUUUAUGCCUAUGGUUUUGAGAAGCCCUCAGCAAUUCAGCAAAGAGGAAUUGUUCCCUUUUGCAAGGGACUAGAUGUUAUUCAGCAAGCACAAUCAGGGACCGGGAAAACCGCCACCUUUUGUUCUGGUAUUCUGCAGCAGCUUGAUUAUGGUCUGGUUCAAUGCCAAGCCUUGGUUCUUGCUCCAACUAGAGAAUUAGCCCAGCAAAUUGAGAAGGUCAUGCGAGCACUUGGUGACUACCUUGGUGUAAAAGUUCAUGCUUGUGUCGGAGGAACAAGUGUUCGUGAGGACCAGCGUAUUCUUUCAAGUGGGGUUCAUGUUGUGGUGGGCACUCCUGGUCGUGUUUUUGACAUGUUGAGGAGGCAGUCUCUUCGCCCUGAUUAUAUUAAAAUGUUUGUCUUGGAUGAGGCUGAUGAAAUGCUUUCACGUGGCUUCAAGGAUCAGAUCUACGACAUCUUCCAGCUACUUCCUUCAAAGAUUCAGGUUGGAGUCUUUUCUGCCACAAUGCCACCUGAAGCCCUGGAGAUCACUCGGAAGUUCAUGAACAAACCUGUUAGGAUUCUUGUGAAGCGCGAUGAACUCACCCUCGAGGGUAUUAAGCAGUUCUAUGUGAACAUUGAGCAGGAAGAUUGGAAACUAGAUACCCUCUGUGACCUCUACGAGACACUGGCCAUCACUCAAAGUGUCAUCUUCGUCAACACCCGCCGCAAGGUCGACUGGCUCACUGACAAAAUGAGGAGCAGAGAUCACACCGUCUCAGCCACUCACGGCGACAUGGACCAGAACACCAGGGACAUCAUCAUGCGUGAAUUCCGCUCAGGCUCCUCUAGAGUCCUCAUCACAACUGACCUGCUUGCCCGUGGUAUCGAUGUCCAGCAAGUCUCACUCGUCAUAAACUACGAUCUACCAACGCAGCCAGAGAACUACCUCCACAGGAUCGGACGAAGUGGACGGUUCGGGAGAAAGGGUGUGGCGAUAAACUUUGUUGUCCGUGACGAUGAGAGGAUGUUGUAUGACAUCCAAAAGUUUUACAACGUUGUGAUAGAGGAGCUGCCUUCCAAUGUCGCUGAUCUCAUCUGAGCCGAGAACUGCUGAAGCGAUAGCUGGGGUUAUUUAUGCACUGUAAUUUGAAACAAGUAUGAAGCUUUUAGCUUGUCUUGUGAGAGCUGUUGAGGACUCUGGUGAGAGGACAGGAGAUUAGCAGCCCUUCGUAUUGUCGUUCAUGCUGAUUAAUGUCGUUUAGUUCGACUAUGGCUUUUGAUGUUCACUUCUCCCAAAUAUUUUUACCGGAAUGUUUUUUUGUCGGUCUUAGUAAUCGACAAUAAAUAUUAAUUUACUGAAUUGUUUUAUUGUGGUUGGGUGCCUGGGUGGUGAUACCUUGAUUUAAAUUUCUCAUAUGUCUUUUUUCAUUUGUUAUCGUAUACACUAUAACUAGAGUUGCACUGGUGCAAGGUUGUUUA